UGGCUCAAUGGUAGAGCGCUUGCCUUGCAUGCAUGAGGCCCUGGGUUUGAUUCCUUA
rnacentral:tRNA from 1 species